CCCAAGCCUGGUGGGCUUGGGGGGCAUUCGACAAUUGGCGCUGAACGUGGGGCCCGAACACCCCCCAGCACCAGGCUUCCAAGACAGAUCUUUUGAGGAGAAAGUUGUUUUUUGACACAGGUCGGUGGCUCAGGUACAGGUGGCGGCAUCCUGAGCACUCUGAAUGAGUGGCUUGUGGCAGAAGUUACUUGUGUGAAUCCAUCAGAAGCUGAGGGCCAGGUAGCCUGAAGUUUUCUGUGAAGCAGUGCCAAAUUGAGAUCCUGCAUCAACAAGAUGAAAGGCAAGAACCAAUGCUGGAAAGUUGUUCUUUGACCUCUACAUGUCCCCUGUGACAAAAAAGGAAUAAUAUUCAUUGUAAAUAUAAUAACACGGAUGCAGAGCAAACACAGACCAUGGAGUCUUCAGCCAGUGUGAAGGAUAAGAGACAGCAGAUCUUGUUGCCCAAGAGGACAACCAGAAUGUAAGGCAACCAGUCUCUAUUUUAGCCUCUGCCUUAUUUUAUGACUUGGAAGAAUGAAAGAAAGAAAGAAAGAAAGAAAGAAAGAAAGAAAGAAAGAAAGAAAGAAAGAAAGAAAGAAAGAAAGAAAGAAAGAAAGAAAGUAAAAUCACUAAACCAUCAGAAAUGAAAAGGCCAUCUGAAAGCAUCUCACCACCUGUAGCAAGACCAUUCCUCGGCUAUCAUGACAGCUGUCAUCCAACAUCACCUUGAGAGUGAGCAGCUCAAGCCACACACAAAACAGCCUUUCUACUCUUGGGCAGACAUAAUUAACAAUAUGGUACAGGUUGCAGAAAAUGUUCUAAGAAACAAAGUACUAGGUGUCUAGGAACAUGGAAAGUUUGCCUUAUACAAGCUGAGAAAAAGUGCCAGAAGAUGUCCUUUGGGGAAGCAACUUUUAAGCCGAGACAUGUUCUGUUUAAACAGACAGGAUUUGUUUUUCAUGGUGGGGUAAUGCACUGUAUGUACAUAUUUGUGAGAGGGGGGUAUAUGCACAUGUGUACAUGUGCAUGUGAAGGCCACAGGUCAAUGUCAGGUUAUCUUCUUUUGUUUGCUUUCCACUUUAUUUUUUGAGACAAGGUCUCUCUUACUGAACCUAAACACACCAACUGUCUAGGCUGGCUGGUCAAUGAGCUCCAGGGAUCCAUCUGUCUAAUACUCCAUCAUGCCUGGGUUUAACAUGACUUCUUGAUAUCCAAACUUGGAUCGUCAUGCUUGCAAAGCAGGCACUUUACUGACUGAGCCAUCACAUUACCCCAGCCCAUCCAGGCUGUCUUUAAUAAUUUUGACAACACAUCACGCUGGGGAUACAUGAAGAUUUAAAUCAACUAAAGUCUUUAAGUACUCUUCUGUAUGGGUCUCCCCACUCUGAAUAAGUGCAAUUUGAUUUCUGGACCUAACAAAAGAAUUUGACAUUUAACCCUAGUAGAUUUCAUCUUGGUAAGAUUAAAAUCUUUUGCUAUAGAGAUGGCUCAGCAGUUAAGAACACUGGCUGUUCUUGCAGAAAACUCCCAGCACCUACAU